AGAGUAGGACACCGCGCGUGAAGUGCCGCCGGACGGGGAGUUGCCGGUCGGACGAAAAGGGCUUGCCCUUGCGGUUCGGUGUCCGCAUCCCGCU
rnacentral:ncRNA from 1 species